rnacentral:rRNA from 1 species
AGGGAGCCUGAGAAACGGCUACCACAUCCAAGGAAGGCAGCAGGCGCGCAAAUUACCCAAUCCCGACACGGGGAGGUAGUGACAAUAAAUAACAAUACGGGGCUCUUUAGGGUCUCGUAAUUGGAAUGAGUACAAUUUAAAUCCCUUAACGAGGAACAAUUGGAGGGCAAGUCUGGUGCCAGCAGCCGCGGUAAUUCCAGCUCCAAUAGCGUAUANNNAAGUUGUUGCAGUUAAAAAGCUCGUAGUUGAAUUUCGGGAUUGGCGCAUCGGUCGUGCCUCACGGGGUAUGAACUGGUGCAGUCAAUUCCUCACCUUCUGGAGAACCGCGAUGUCCUUAAUUGGAUGCCGUGGGGAACCAGGACCUUUACUUUGAAAAAAUUAGAGUGUUUAAAGCAGGCAUUUUUGCUUGAAUACAUUAGCAUGGAAUAAUAAAAUAGGACGGCAUGGUUCUAUUUUGUUGGUUUCUAGGACCACCGUAAUGAUUAAUAGGGAUAGUUGGGGGCAUUAGUAUUCAAUUGCCAGAGGUGAAAUUCUUGGAUUUAUUGAAGACUGACUACUGCGAAAGCAUUUGCCAAGGAUGUUUUCAUUAAUCAAGAACGAAAGUUAGGGGAUCGAAGACGAUCGGAUACCGUCGUAGUCUUAACCAUAAACUAUGCCGACUAGGAAUCAGACGAUGUUAAUUUUUUAAUGACUCGUUUGGCACCUUACGGGA